UACGGAGGGUGCGAGCGUUGUCCGGAUUUAUUGGGUUUAAAGGGUGCGUAGGUGGCUAUUUAAGUCAGUGGUGAAAUACAGCCGCUCAACGGUUGAGGUGCCAUUGAUACUGAAUAGCUUGAAAGAAUGAGGCUGCCGGAAUGGAUGGUGUAGCGGUGAAAUGCAUAGAUAUCAUCCAGAACACCGAUUGCGAAGGCAGGUGGCUACGAUUUAUUUGACACUGAGGCACGAAAGCAUGGGGAGCAAACAGG
rnacentral:rRNA from 1 species